UGGAGCAUGUGGCUUAAUUUGACUCAACGCGGGAAAUCUUACCGGGUCCGGACACACUGAGGAUUGACAGGCAAUAUUAAUACAUUGGCGUUUACGUUUUUUGUAUUAUGUUAAAUAUGCUAGUCCUUUCAUGAUUAUGUGAUAGGUGGUGCAUGGCCGUUCUUAGUUCGUGGAGUGAUCUGUCUGCUUAAUUGCGUUUCACUAAGGACCUAUACAUUUACCUGUGUUGCAGCACUUUGACCCCUCUUUUCUCAACUUCUGUUGUUUAAGAGCGUGUGUCUUAGCUUUUGCUUGCUCGCACAACUAGGUCCUGAAAGCAACGAACGUGACCGCAACCUCUUGUUGCCUUUUGAUACCAACAGUUUCUUUCUUCGCACUCUGUGUGAAUGAUUGACUGCAUAAAGGCUUUUUAAACUAGAGGGACCGCUGUUACUUUCUUAAACCAGAGGAAGGUUGCGGCAAUAACAGGUCU
rnacentral:rRNA from 1 species